rnacentral:rRNA from 1 species
AUUGAACGCUGGCGGCAGGCUUAACACAUGCAAGUCGAGCGGGGUGAUGGUGCUUGCACUAUCACUUAGCGGCGGACGGGUGAGUAAUGCUUAGGAAUCUGCCUAUUAGUGGGGGACAACAUCUCGAAAGGGAUGCUAAUACCGCAUACGUCCUACGGGAGAAAGCAGGGGAUCACUUGUGACCUUGCGCUAAUAGAUGAGCCUAAGUCGGAUUAGCUAGUUGGUGGGGUAAAGGCCUACCAAGGCGACGAUCUGUAGCGGGUCUGAGAGGAUGAUCCGCCACACUGGGACGGAGACACGGCCAGACUCCUACGGGAGGCAGCAGUGGGGAAUAUUGGACAAUGGGGGGAACCCUGAUCCAGCCAUGCCGCGUGUGUGAAGAAGGCCUUAUGGUUGUAAAGCACUUUAAGCGAGGAGGAGGCUCUUUUGGUUAAUACCCAAGAUGAGUGGACGUUACUCGCAGAAUAAGCACCGGCUAACUCUGUGCCAGCCGCCGCUGUAA